GAUGAACGCUAGCGGGAGGCCUAACACAUGCAAGCCGAGCGGUAUUUGUUCUUCGGAACAGAGAGAGCGGCGCACGGGUGCGGAACACGUGUGCAACCUGCCUUUAUCUGGGGGAUAGCCUUUCGAAAGGAAGAUUAAUACCCCAUAAUAUAUUGAGUGGCAUCAUUUGUUAUUGAAAACUCCGGUGGAUAGAGAUGGGCACGCGCAAGAUUAGAUAGUUGGUGAGGUAACGGCUCACCAAGUCAAUGAUCUUUAGGGGGCCUGAGAGGGUGAUCCCCCACACUGGUACUGGGACACGGACCAGACUCCUACGGGAGGCAGCAGUGAGGAAUAUUGGACAAUGGGUUAGCGCCUGAGCCAGCCAUCCCGCGUGAAGGACGACGGCCCUAUGGGUUGUAAACUUCUUUUGUAUAGGGAUAAACCUACUCUCGUGAGAGUAGCUGAAGGUACUAUACGAAUAAGCACCGGCUAACUCCGUG
rnacentral:rRNA from 1 species